ensembl:antisense 4930469G21Rik RIKEN cDNA 4930469G21 gene
AGGACUAUCUGAAAGGCUUUGACAGGAGUGCCUCUUUAGUGCUUGAGGCAUCUUUUGCUCUGUCUGACCAAUUUUUUAGCACAAGAUUUUCUUCUCAGUUAAGACAAAAAAAAAAAAAGAUGUCUACCCAAAGACUGUCUGUGCUUUCUCCCCUUCUGCUCUUCUGCUUCUUCAGAGAGACUUUCUCCAUUUGUGACGGGACAACGUGGACAAAGGUCGGAUGGGAGAUUUUUCCAGAGGAAGUGCACUACCUGAAAGUUAAGGCCCCCCCAUCCAGCUGCCUACCUUAUCCUCUGGACACACUCUGCUGCAAUUUUGCUAACAUGGACCUCUUACAGAGCGCCUUACACCUCACUUACAUCUUAGUACAAGCUCUCUGCUUAAUCCUGUUUGCUUUAUCUGUGCAUUACCUAUGGAUGAAAUGGACAAGACACCAAAAAAAGCUGAAAAAGCAAGCUUCCUUAGAGAAACACGCUAAUGGCCUAGACCUGAGCCCAUCCAUCCAUGACAUUGAACAAAUCCUCUGCAGACUACUGGCCACAACAUCAAUGAUGACCAAGUUCCUGAAGCACGUGUCUCACCACUCUUCUGUCAAGAAAGCUAAGCAACAGCGUAAAUUAAGGAAGAAGAAGAGUAAGGGAGAAGAGGAGCAGAAGAUCACUGCUAUCCCUAAGCUCGUGCAAAUGUAGCUUGGUCAAGUGCGGAGAGGACAAAAGCUCGUGCAAAUGUAGCUUGGUCAAGUGCGGAGUAUAAAAGAAAUCUAUUGCAGGGACUGUCUGAGGACACAAAGGUUUCUUUGGGGGCUUGCUUUUUUUUUUUUUUUUUUGCCACAAUCAUUACAGAAAAAUUCUCAGACGAGCUCUGGGUUUCCGCUCAACUGAAAACGAAUCCACUCUUUCUAACGUGGCUCCCAGAAUAAACUGAGAACACCUUAACUGGAA